AACUUAUAUAUUUGUUAGAGAGAUUGGUAUUUCUAAUAUAUGAGAAAAUAAAAUAUUUCUAGAGUAAUGUAAAGAUAAGAGUGAGGUCAACCAAAUAUCUAGGAGAAUCAUAUUAUCCUUAAAUUCAUCUCUCUUUAUAAUUCAGUCUAGUGUUUCCAUACUUACAUAGUAUGAAGUAAAUCGAUAAGGAGAAAGAUCCUAAAGCUAAAGAGAGAAAGAGAUCGAGAGGGAUGGAAAACAUAGGGCCAUCACCACUGGUGCCUUCUCUAAUAGUGACAUUCCUUGGAAUGGCGAUAUUUGGUCCAACCGUCUCACUCUUUGUGGCACUGGCCGAGCUUCUGAGCCUGGAUGGUUUGGCUUUGGAACUUUUCUUCUCUUUGUGCUCUACGCAGUUCUCUACACUGUAGUCUCUCAGCAAUACCUAUAGUUGAGCUGCAUGCCUGCCAGCAACAUCUUAAUUCUACUCACAGUUUCAGCUUCUUCAUCAUCUGUUUGUGUGUUUCCUUGUCACUGAUUUAGGUGUAGAAUUGAAGUGACAACCCAUAUAUAUAAUAUAUGAAAAUCAAAGAGGGUAAGAAAAAUAAUAUAGAAAAACAAAAUAGAGAUAUGUUAUAUAUAUUGGGCUGCCCCCAGUGUUCCUGAUGUAAAAAUAUUAUUCAAAAUAUAUCUAUGUUUAUGUAAAUGUAGCUGAUGUUUUUAUCCAUCCUGCUUUACAACUCUGUACAGAUUUUAUCUAAGCAUAUUGUAUCUUUAAGCUGCUUGAUUUAA